UACGUAGGGGCCAAGCGUUGUCCGGAUUUAUUGGGCGUAAAGAGCUCGUAGGCGGUUGGGUAAGUCGGGUGUGAAAACUCCAGGCUCAACUUGGAGAUGCCACCCGAUACUGCUCUGACUUGAGUUCGGUAGGGGAGUGGGGAAUUCCUGGUGUAGCGGUGAAAUGCGCAGAUAUCAGGAGGAACACCGGUGGCGAAGGCGGGUCUCUGGGCAAUAACUGACGCUGAGGAGCGAAAGCGUGGGGAGCGAACAGG
rnacentral:rRNA from 1 species